AUCGCUUCUCGGCCUAUUGGCUAAGAUCAAAGUGUAGUAUCUGUUCUUAUCAGCUUGAUAUCUGAUACGCUCCUCAUUGAGGAGCCAGAAUAUCGAACUGAUUUUUGGAAUAUGGCGGAGUGUCUGGGGCUUGCUCCGACUCCGCCACGGGUCGACCUUGCAUUGCAGUACCGCAAGGAACGGCCCACACAAU
rnacentral:snRNA from 12 species